rnacentral:rRNA from 1 species
AGAGUUUGAUCAUGGCUCAGGACGAACGCUGGCGGUGUGCUUCACACAUGCAAGUCGAACGGGGUAGCAAUACCCAGUGGCGGACGGGUGAGUAACACGUAGGAAUCUGCCUUUAGAUGGGGGAUAACUGACCGAAAGGUUAGCUAAUACCGCAUAUGCCGCAAGGUAAAAGGAGCAAUCCGUCUAAAGAUGAGCCUGCGUCCGAUUAGCUAGUUGGUAGGGUAAAGGCCUACCAAGGCUACGAUCGGUAGCUGGUCUGAGAGGAUGAUCAGCCACAAUGGGACUGAGACACGGCCCAUACUCCUACGGGAGGCAGCAGUGGGGAAUUUUGUGCAAUGGGGGAAACCCUGACACAGCGACACCGCGUGAGCGAAGAAGCCCCUUGGGGUGUAAAGCUCUGUCGACAGGGACGAAAAAAAUGACGGUACCUGUAGAGGAAGCAUCGGCUAACUACGUGCCAGCAGCCGCGGUAAGACGUAGGAUGCGAGCGUUGUCCGGAUUUAUUGGGCGUAAAGAGUUCGUAGGCGGUUUGUUAAGUCUGAUGUUAAAGACUGGGGCUCAACCUCGGGACUGCAUUGGAUACUGGCAGACUGGAGUAUGGUAGAGGCAAGUGGAAUUCCCAGUGUAGCGGUGAAAUGCGUAGAUAUUGGGAAGAACACCGGUGNNNCAAGCGACUUGCUGGGCCAUUACUGACGCUGAGGAACGAAAGCUAGGGGAGCGAAUGGGAUUAGAUACCCUAGUAGUCC